rnacentral:rRNA from 1 species
GACGAACGCUGGCGGCGUGCCUAAUACAUGCAAGUUGAGCGCUGAAGAUUGGUGCUUGCACCAAUUUGAAGAGCAGCGAGCGGGUGAGUAACGCGUGGGGAAUCUGCCUUGGAGCGGGGGACAACAUUUGGAAACGAAUGCUAAUACCGCAUAACAACUUUAAACAUAAGUUUUAUGUUUGAAAGAUGCAAUUGCAUCACUCAAAGAUGAUCCCGCUUUGUAUUAGCUAGUUGGUGAGGUAAAGGCUCACCAAGGCGAUGAUACAUAGCCGACCUGAGAGGGUGAUCGGCCACAUUGGGACUGAGACACGGCCCAAACUCCUACGGGAGGCAGCAGUAGGGAAUCUUCGGCAAUGGACGAAAGUCUGACCGAGCAACGCCGCGUGAGUGAAGAAGGUUGUCGGAUCGUAAAACUCUGUUGGUAGAGAAGAACGUGGGUGAGAGUGGAAAGCUCAUCAAGUGACGGUAACUACCCAGAAAGGGACGGCUAACUACGUG